GGAGCACCCAGGGUUCAAACCCAGCAGGAAAGAGUUAAAACCGAAGAAAAGCAACAAAAAGGGAAAAGCCAUUCUUGAAACUCCACCAGAUUGCCCUCCACUUGGUCUGGAGACAUUAAAAAUUACUGACUUCCAGCUCCAUGCCUCUACAGCAAAGCGGUAUGGCCUCGGGGCCCACAGAGGAAGGCUCAAUAUUCAGGCAGGUGUUAACGAAAAUGAUUUUUAUGAUGGUGCUUGGUGUGCAGGAAGAAAUGACCCAUAUCAGUGGAUUGAAGUAGAUGCUCGAAGGCUCACAAAAUUCACUGGAGUCAUCACACAAGGAAGAAACUCCCUCUGGUCGUAAGUACAUACUUGCUUUUCUCCAUAAGAUUCUGAGAUUUCGGAGCAAGGA